GACGAACGCUGGCGGCGUGCCUAAUACAUGCAAGUAGGACGCAGUUGCGAACGGGUGAGUAACGCGUAGGUAACUACCUAUGAGAGGGGGAUAACUAGUGGAAACGAUAGCUAAUACCGCAUACUAGUAGAUGGACCUGCGUUGUAUUGGCUAGUAGGUAGGGUAAUGGCCUACCUAGGCAACGAUACAUAGCCGACCUGGGCGGGUGAGCGGCCAAACUGGGACUGAGACACGGGCCAUACGCCUACAGGGUGGCGCAGUAGGGAAUCUUCGGCAAUGUGGGGAAUCCUGACCACGCAACGCCGCCUGAGUGCAGAAGGUGUCCGGAGCGUAAAGCUCUGUUUUUAAGGAAUCGGUACUUACCCAGACAGGGACGGCUAACUACGUGCCAGCAGCCGCGGUAAUAC
rnacentral:rRNA from 1 species